rnacentral:lncRNA from 1 species
UUACAAUGCCCCCUUGAGGUAUAGACCGAUGUUUUGAUCAGUCAGUCUAGAGGGCAGUAUAAAUUCAAAAAAAUUCAAAAAAAUAUAAAACCUUGGAAACUUAGCUUUGUUUGUGCAAGAGAUCAUGUGUGCCAAAAUUGAGGUGAUUUGGAGGUGGUCGAAAAAAUCACCGCAUUCCGGAGGGACGAUUUGGUCUAACUUAAGCCAUUUUUUGAACAAAGGUGAUUUUUUCCACCACCUCCAAAUCACCCGAUUUCUCUAUGACACGGUGACCCACGUGUGCCAAACAUGUCCAUGAAAGAACAUUUAGAAAAUAAAUAUUUUACAAUGCCCCCUUGAGGUAUAGACCGAUUUUUUGAUCAGUCAGUAUAGAGGGCAGUAUAUAUUCAAACAAAUUCAACAAAAAUAUAAAACCUUGGAAACCUAGUUUUGUUUGUGCAAUAGAUCAUGUGUGCCAAAAUUGAGGUCAUUUGGAGGUGGUCGAAAAAAUCACCGCAUUCCGGAG